AAGUCAAAUAAUCGCCCAAAAUAGCUGGAAUUACCGGCAGAUUGUGCAGCAAUAAACCUACAGUUUUCUGAAG
ensembl:snoRNA